UACGAAGGGGGCUAGCGUUGCUCGGAAUCACUGGGCGUAAAGCGCACGUAGGCGGCUUCUUAAGUCAGGGGUGAAAUCCUGGAGCUCAACUCCAGAACUGCCCUUGAUACUGAGAGGCUCGAGUCCGGGAGAGGUGAGUGGAACUCCGAGUGUAGAGGUGAAAUUCGUAGAUAUUCGGAAGAACACCAGUGGCGAAGGCGGCUCACUGGCCCGGUACUGACGCUGAGGUGCGAAAGCGUGGGGAGCAAACAGG
rnacentral:rRNA from 1 species